ACAGAGAAUUAUGGGUAAAUCAAUGCUGAAGAGCUGUUCGUUGCAGUUUAGAGUAGGGAUGUGGACAAAUAAUUGAAUAUUUGAGCUGAUCGGUCAUUAUUUGCCUAAUAAACAUCACAAAAAAACAAUAACUCAAUUUAGAAUUUUGCUAAAUGUCACUAAAUAAUGGAUGCAAUUGGAGUAAAUCUGUUUUGUUUUUAUCUUUAUUGCGAGUCCAAUUAUUCUUGGGACCAAAUCUUGACUGAAAUCACAGUGUGAACGGGACUUUACUUUCACUUUCACUUGAUUUCAACUAUAAACAAUGUAUAAUUAAUAUACAAUCAAUAUAUAAUUACCUAUAAAUCAAAGAUAUCAAUAUAUAAUAUUAUCUUGUCAGAAAGCCUGCUUGAUGGACUAGGAACUAAAGUUCGUUGCAUGUUUCUAGGGUGGACGUUUAGUUUAUGGGACCUGCUGUUAUGUUCUCUAUCAUUGCUAGCUCCUGCUGAUGUUGUUUUCUGUAAUGCGUUCAUCUUAUACAAACCAUUACAUCUUAUUCAUUUCUCACUACCAUUACCCAUAAUUGAGCAAUCUGAUGAUUAUGUUGAAGAAAAUAAAUAUUUCAAACGUCAC